rnacentral:rRNA from 1 species
GUCUUUUUGAUAAAUAAUUUAAAGUCUAAUCUGCCCCCUGAAAUUAUUUUAAAGGGCUGCGGUAUCUUAACCGUACAAAGGUAGCAUAAUAAUUAGGUUUUUAAUUGAAAUCUUGAAUGAAUGAUUGGACGAGAUAUGAGCUGUUUUAAAAUAUAAAUUUGAAUUUAAUUUUUUAGUUAAAAAGCUAAAAUAUUUUUAAAAGACGAGAAGACCCUAUAAAUCUUUAUAAUUUAUUUAUUUUAAUUAAUUAUUUUAAUAAAAUUAAUUUAAAUAGAGAAAUUAUUUUAUUGGGGUGAUAUAAAAAUUUUUUAAACUUUUUAUGAUUAUAAUACUAUAAUUAAAGAUUUAUAAAAUAUAUGAUCUAUUAAUAAUAAUUAAAAGAAAAAGAUACUUUAGGGAUAACAGCGUAAUUUUAAUAUUAAGUUCAUAUUAUUAUUAAAGAUUGCGACCUCGAUGUUGGAUUAAAAUUUAAUUUAAAUGCAAAAGUUUAAAAAUUAAGUCUGUUCGACUUUUAAAAUUUU